rnacentral:rRNA from 1 species
AAUCAAGCGCGAGAAGGGCGUUUGGUGGAUGCCUUGGCAGUAAGAGGCGAUGAAAGACGUGAUACUCUGCGAUAAGUCAUGGGGAGCUGAGAAUAAGCUUUGAUCCAUGAAUUUCUGAAUGGGGGAACCCACCUGACAGUUUGUUAUAAAAUGCUCUGCAUUUUAUAACUUGCUGAACCAGGUACUUAAGACCUGAAUACAUAGGGUUUUAAGAGCAAACCCGGGGAACUGAAACAUCUAAGUACCCGGAGGAAAGGAAAUCAAUUGAUACUCCCCUAGUAGCGGCGAGCGAACGGGGACCAGCCAAGCCUGAUAAGUGACUAGAACGUGUUGGGAAGCACGGCCAUAGCGGGUGAUAGCCCCGUAUAGGAAGCUUUGAAGGAUGUAUUAAGUAGGGCGGGACACGUGAAAUCCUGUCUGAAGAUCGGAGGACCACCUUCGAAGGCUAAGUACUCCUUACUGACCGAUAGCGAACCAGUACCGUGAGGGAAAGGUGAAAAGCACCCCGACAAGGGGAGUGAAACAGUACCUGAAACCGAACGCCUACAAUCAGUUGGAGGCCCCUUGAGGGCUGACAGCGUACCUUUUGUAUAAUGGGUCAUCGACUUAGUGUAUCUAGCAAGCUUAAGCCGUUAGGUGUAGGCGCAGCGAAAGCGAGUCUUAAUAGGGCGCUUGAGUUAGAUGCAUUAGACCCGAAACCGAGUGAUCUAGGCAUGACCAGGAUGAAGGUAAGGUAACACUUACUGGAGGUCCGAACCCACACCUGUUGAAAAAGGUCGGGAUGAGUUGUGCCUAGGGGUGAAAGGCCAAUCAAACUCGGAGAUAGCUGGUUCUCUGCGAAAUCUAUUUAGGUAGAGCGUCAUCCGAAUACCCCGGGGGGUAGAGCACUGAAUGGGUAAUGGGGGCCCACAGCCUUACUGAUCCUAAUCAAACUCCGAAUACCCGGGAGUACUAGAUGGCAGACACACUGCGGAUGCUAACGUCCGUAGUGGAGAGGGAAACAACCCUGACCUACGACUAAGGCCCCUAAUUCAUGGCUAAGUGGGAAAGCAGGUGGGACGACCAAAACAACCAGGAGGUUGGCUUAGAAGCAGCCAUCCUUUAAAGAUAGCGUAACAGCUCACUGGUCUAAAUAAGUUGUCCUGCGGCGAAGAUGUAACGGGGCUCAAGCCAUGAGCCGAAGUCUAGGAUAGUGACAUUCCUUCGGGAAUGCACUGUGGUAGCAGAGCGUAGUGUGACAUAGGGAUUUAGUCCUCAAGUAGCGAAGCGGUAGGACAUCAUAUAAUGAGUGUCGGAGACACGAAGCUUUCGAUGAAGCUGGGGCGUGAGCCAUCCGGUGGAGAGAUCACUAGUGAGAAUGAUGACAUGAGUAGCGACAAAGAGUGUGAGAGACACUCUCGCCGAAAGUCCAAGGGUUCCUGCUUAAAGCUAAUCUGAGCAGGGUAAGCCGACCCCUAAGGCGAGGCCGAAAGGCGUAGUCGAUGGGAACCAGGUUAAUAUUCCUGGGCCAGAUGGAAGUGACGGAUUGCGACGGUUGUUCCUCCUUAUUGGAUUGGAGGGGCCGCUUAGCAGUUCCUGGAAAUAGCUCCAUCGCUAGAUCGUACCCUAAACCGACACAGGUGGACUGGUAGAGAAUACCAAGGCGCUUGAGAGAACGAUGUUGAAGGAACUCGGCAAAAUACCUCCGUAAGUUCGCGAGAAGGAGGCCCAGUUUCUACGCAAGUAUUGGCUGGGGGCACAAACCAGGGGGUGGCGACUGUUUACUAAAAACACAGGGCUCUGCGAAGUCGCAAGACGACGUAUAGGGUCUGACGCCUGCCCGGUGCCUGAAGGUUAAAAGGAGGGGUGAGAGCUCCGAAUUGAAGCCCAGGUAAACGGCGGCCGUAACUAUAACGGUCCUAAGGUAGCGAAAUUCCUUGUCGGGUAAGUUCCGACCUGCACGAAUGGCGUAACGACUUCCCCACUGUCUCCAACAUCGACUCAGCGAAAUUGAAUUGCCUGUCAAGAUGCAGGCUUCCCGCGGUUAGACGGAAAGACCCCGUGCACCUUUACUACAGCUUCACACUGGCAUCAGGCCAUGCAUGUGCAGGAUAGGUGGUGGGCAUUGAAACCGUGACGCCAGUCGCGGUGGAGCCUCCCUUGAGAUACCACCCUUGCAUUGCUUGAUGUCUAACCGCGGUCCGUUAUCCGGAUCCGGGACCCUGUGUGGCGGGUAGUUUGACUGGGGCGGUCGCCUCCUAAAGCGUAACGGAGGCGCGCGAAGGUUGGCUCAGAGCGGUCGGAAAUCGCUCGUUGAGUGCAAUGGCAGAAGCCAGCCUGACUGCAAGACUGACAAGUCGAGCAGAGUCGAAAGACGGCCAUAGUGAUCCGGUGGUCCCGAGUGGAAGGGCCAUCGCUCAACGGAUAAAAGGUACGCCGGGGAUAACAGGCUGAUACUGCCCAAGAGUCCAUAUCGACGGCAGUGUUUGGCACCUCGAUGUCGGCUCAUCUCAUCCUGGGGCUGGAGCAGGUCCCAAGGGUACGGCUGUUCGCCGUUUAAAGAGGUACGUGAGCUGGGUUUAGAACGUCGUGAGACAGUUCGGUCCCUAUCUGCCGUGGGUGUAGGAUACUUGAGAGGAGUUGCCCCUAGUACGAGAGGACCGGGGUGAACGAUCCACUGGUGGACCUGUUGUUGCGCCAGCAGCAGUGCAGGGUAGCUAUGAUCGGACAGGAUAACCGCUGAAGGCAUCUAAGCGGGAAGCCCCCCUCAAAACAAGGUAUCCCUGAGGACCGUGGUAGACCACCACGUCGAUAGGCCGGAGAUGUAAGUGCAGCAAUGCAUUCAGUUGACCGGUACUAAUGGUCCGAUAGGCUUGAUUUG